GACGAACGCUGGCUGCGUGCUUAACACAUGCAAGUCGAACGCUGAAACCCUGGUGCUUGCACCGGGGUGGAUGAGUGGCGAACGGGUGAGUAACACGUGAGUAACCUGCCCCCGACUUCGGGAUAAGCCCGGGAAACUGGGUCUAAUACCGGAUAUGAGCGCCCCUCGCAUGAGGGAUGCUGGAAAGUCUUUUCGGUUGGGGAUGGGCUCGCGGCCGAUCAGUUUGUUGGUGAGGUAAUGGCUCACCAAGACGACGACGGGUAGCCGGCCUGGGAGGGCGACCGGCCACACUGGGACUGAGACACGGCCCAGACUCCUACGGGAGGCAGCAGUGGGGAAUAUUGCACAAUGGGGGGAACCCUGAUGCAGCGACGCAGCGUGCGGGAUGACGGCCUUCGGGUUGUAAACCGCUUUCAGCAGGGAAGAAGCCCCUUGGGGUGACGGUACCUGCAGAAGAAGUACCGGCUAACUACGUGCCAGCCGCCGCGGUAA
rnacentral:rRNA from 1 species